AGUUAGGCAGAAUGCUUCUAUUGCAAGAAGAAGGGGUACUGAAAGAGAAAUUAUCCUCAGUACAUUGCCUCCUUGGAUCCAAACAGGUCAAGAAAGAAGCAAGUUGUUGCUGCACAAGGUAAUUAUAUGAUAACACCUUGUAAUUUCUUAAUUUGUAAUUCUACUACUUGGGUAUUAGAUACUGGAAGCCCUUUUAAUAUU
rnacentral:lncRNA from 1 species